UACGUAGGUUGCAAGCGUUGUCCGGAAUUAUUGGGCGUAAAGAGCUCGUAGGCGGUUUGUUGCGUCGGCUGUGAAAUCCCGAGGCUCAACCUCGGGUCUGCAGUCGAUACGAGCAAACUAGAGUGUUGCAGGGGAGACUGGAAUUCCUGGUGUAGCGGUGAAAUGCGCAGAUAUCAGGAGGAACACCGGUGGCGAAGGCGGGUCUCUGGGCAGUAACUGACGCUGAGGAGCGAAAGCAUGGGGAGCGAACAGG
rnacentral:rRNA from 1 species